rnacentral:snoRNA from 1 species
GGACCUAUGAUGAUAACUUUCAAUCUUACCAUCUUUUGGGACUGAUUGGCUUUCAUUGCCAUGUUGUUAUUCUGCAAUUCUGAGGUCU